rnacentral:rRNA from 1 species
UACAGAGGGUGCAAGCGUUGUUCGGAAUUAUUGGGCGUAAAGGGCGCGUAGGCGGUUCGGCAAGUCUCUAGUGAAAUCUCUGGGCUCAACUCAGAGUCUGCUGGGGAAACUGCCGGGCUUGAGUGUGGGAGAGGAGAGUGGAAUUCCCGGUGUAGCGGUGAAAUGCGUAGAGAUCGGGAAGAACGCCGGCGGCGAAAGCGACUCACUGGUCGGAAUCUGACGCUGAGGUGCGAAAGCUAGGGGAGCAAACGGG